rnacentral:sRNA from 1 species
ACCUGAGGUGGUAGAGUGAAAGCUCGCCCGGAUGG